rnacentral:rRNA from 1 species
AUUGACCGCUAGCGGGAUGCCUUACACAUGCAAGUCGAACGGAGUGGCGAACGGGUGAGUAAUGUAUCGGCACGUGCCCAGUAGCGGGGGAUAACUACGCGAAAGCGUAGCUAAUAACGCAUACUAUUGGAGCGGCCGAUAUCGGAUUAGCUAGUUGGUGGGGUAAAGGCUCACCAAGGCGACGAACCGUAGCUGGAUUGAGAGGACGACCAGCCACACUGGGACGUAGACACGGCCCGGACUCGUACGUGUGGCAGCAGUGGGGAAUUUUGGACAAUGGGGGAAACCCUGAUCCAUCCAGCCCGAGUGGGCGAUGAAGGCCUUCGGGUUGUAAAGCACUGUUGGCAGGAAAGCGGUACCUGCAGAAUAAGCACCGGCUAACUACGUGCCAGCCGCCGCGGUAAUAC